rnacentral:rRNA from 1 species
CCUACGGGAGGCCGCAGUGGGGAAUAUUGGGCAAUGGAGGAAACUCUGACCCAGCAACGCCGCGUGAAUGAUGAAGGUCUUCGGAUUGUAAAGUUCUUUUCUAAGGGAAGACGCAAGUGACGGUAACUUAGAAAUCAGCCUCGGCUAACUACGUGCCAGCCGCCGCGGUAAUACGUAGGAGCCAAGCGUUAUCUGGAAGGACUGGGCGUAUAGGGUGCGUAGGUGGUUUGUCAAGUUGGUAGCGUAACUCCGGGGCUCAACCUCGGCACUACUACCAAGACUGUCGGACUUGAGUGCAGGAGGGGCAAAUAGAAUUCCUAGUGUAGCGGUGGAAUGCGUAGAGAUUAGGAGGAACACCAGUGGCGAAGGCGAUUUUCUGGACUAUAACUGACACUGAGGUACGAAAGCGUGGGGAGCAAACAGGAUGAGAUACCCUUGUAGUC